AGGCACUGCUGGCAUCCUGGCCGGCUGCGUUUGCACUGCUUCUCCAAAACCACAUUAUAGGUACUAAACAACAUUGUUUAGUACCUAUAAUGUGCUAGACUCCUGGCUGCUAGCGAGAUCAGAGGGUCAGAAGUUUUAAGGAUCAUUACACAUGGUACUCUAUGGAAAGGAUUGCCAACGCUAUGGAAGAAAACCCCAACAAAGAUAGAAAACA
rnacentral:lncRNA from 1 species